rnacentral:lncRNA from 1 species
GCAUUGAAGGUUUUGAGCUUUUAAAACAAGUUUUGGAGCUUGGGAGACUCAGGAGCCCAUUUGCUUGGAUCUCCGAGUUUAGGUCGUCUCUCUCUCGAUCUUCAAGAGGUAAGAGCCGAUCUUGAGCUCAAUGUAUAUUUUUAACAAGUUUUAAGUAGAUUUAUGGGGUAGAAAUGCAUGUUAGGGUUAUUUGAAUAUUUGGGUUUAGGUUAUGAUUUUGAACAAUGUAUGUUGAUUUUUGUGUGUUUGAAGUGUUGUAGUUGGGGUAUAUGCUAGUUUGAGACCCCUAGGUGUAAUGUAUGAUAUGUAUGCAUGUUUUAGAACUAGUUUUUUUGCAUGAUUUGAGCUUGGGAGGCGAAAUGUGCAUAGAGGAGCUGAGUUUCUGCCCUUCGGGAGAAGCUCAGGUUCGGCCGCCGAAGUGACUUUCGGCCGCCGAACCCCCUUUGUGGAGGCAGCAUUCGGCUGCCGAAGUUGCCCCCGAAAAGAGACUUUCGUCUCUGUCUGGGACUUUCGGCCGCCGAAGGUGCUGCCGAAAGUGCCUGACUUUCGGCUCUGGAGGGACUUUCGGCCGCCGAACCUGCCACCGAAAGUGCCCUGUCCAGCCAUUUCAUGCAUGUGUUUCUAUGAUUAUUUCAUGAUGUUUUAGGGGGUUUUUGGGGAGUAGAUUAGAGUUAUGUUCAUAAUGUUAGGUCCCUCAUUUGAGUCCACCUGUGUAGGUUCGGACCCGAGGAACCGAGGGCCCCAGCAGUGAGAUAGUUGCUUCAGAGUCUGUAGAGCUUCAGCCAGAGGUGAGUAGAAUAAACUCUUAACUUUUAAAUUAAAGAAGUAUAAGUUUUUGAGCAUGUUCAUGCAUCAUGGAUGCCAUGCGAUAUUAGGUUGUUUGAAUUAGUGUACACGAAUAUGUUGCAUUGCAUAAUAUGAUGUGGAUGCGGAUUGGCUAUUGGAUGAUCCUCUAGUCCUCCUAUGGUAUGAUAUGAUAUGAUGAUGAUACGGUACGGAUUACCAGUGAGGCCCAUUCUACGCCCCUGGACUAUGUUAAGAGAAAGACCAGUGAGGCCCAUUCUACGCCCCUGGCACGAUUGGACUAUAUUGAGGACUAUAGGUGACAAUACCAUCCUUAUGUGAUAUGUUUGUGAUGUGUUGCAUUUCAUGGAAGCAUGAAAUAUUUUAAUAUAUGUUUUCUCUAUUCUGCUCACUGGGCUUUGUAGCUCACCCCUCUCCCCUAACCCCAGAUGUGCAGGUACAGGGUAGACCAGGAGGCUAACCAGAG